rnacentral:lncRNA from 1 species
GCAACCUGAAAACACGAGACUGAAACAUAUGAAACAUUUUAGAACUUAUUAAACAUUUUAGAACUUAUUGUUGCAACAUAUUUGUUGAACAUAUGCAAUGUCCAGAUCCAAAGCUUGCAACAAUACUUCUGGGAACAAAUGAAACAUUUCGAACAAAACUCUUGCAACAUGGCUCCGAAACACUUGCAACAUAUGCAACAUGUGCAACAUCUCCC